CAGCCGCCACGGGAAUACGUAGGGUGCGAGCGUUAAUCGGAGUUACUGGGCGUAAAGCGUGCGCAGGCGGUUGUGUAAGACAGGUGUGAAAUCCCCGGGCUUAACCUGGGAACUGCGCUUGUGACUGCACAGCUAGAGUAUAGCAGAGGGGGGUGGAAUUCCACGUGUAGCAGUGAAAUGCGUAGAGAUGUGGAGGAACACCGAUGGCGAAGGCAGCCCCCUGGGCCAAUACUGACGCUCAUGCACGAAAGCGUGGGGAGCAAACAGGAUUAGAUACCCGCGUAGUCCCUGUCUCUUAUAC
rnacentral:rRNA from 1 species